AAAAGGUGAACACUUUCCAGUGCCACAGCUCACUCUGCAGAUUUCAUUCCCCUACUUGACUUCAUCCAAAAACCCCAUUCUCUACCUAACUGGAUUGUCAUCUUCAGAUAAUGCAGUCUGCCAAACCAGUCACCCUAUAAAUCCAUUCAACUCUGGGAUGCAGUUUGAGCUGGCAAAAAAAAAA